GCUGUUAUAGCUCAGUUGGUCGGGUUGACGCUUCGCGUCAACACUAGCACACCCUUGCUAAGGAUGAGGUCAUCAGUUCGACUCUGAUUAACAGCUCCA
rnacentral:tRNA from 1 species